rnacentral:rRNA from 1 species
UUUGAAAUCUGACGCAAGUCCGAGUUGUAAUUUGAAGAAGGUAAUUUUUGGGGAGAUGUUGACAAAAGUUCCUUGGAACAGGACGUCAUAGAGGGUGAGAAUCCCGUUUUGUUAACCUCUCUCUCCUUGUAAAAUGCUUUCGAAGAGUCGAGUUGUUUGGGAAUGCAGCUCUAAGUGGGUGGUAAAUUCCAUCUAAAGCUAAAUAUUGGCGAGAGACCGAUAGCGAACAAGUACAGUGAUGGAAAGAUGAAAAGAACUUUGAAAAGAGAGUGAAAAAGUACGUGAAAUUGUUGAAAGGGAAGGGUUUUAAGGGAGACUUGGGAGGUAACGAACAAUUUUCUUUCGGGAAGGUGCACUCGUUGCUUUCUAGGCCAAUAUGGAUUUGAAGAGUGGGAUAAAAGG